GAGAGCAGCAGAGAGUCCCGGCGCUUCAACGCGACGCCGCAUGACUUGGAUAUUCCCAUUAUUAGCGAAAUGUUGUUCUGCCAUUCCGGGUCAUGCCCAGGAGGGUAACGAGAGGUGCUUGAUUUGCUCCCUGCACACAUCGCGUCCCUCCGUGCCUUUUCCGUCCCCUCUUUCACAGCCGCUGCCAUCCCCGGCAGAACGAGCUGCAUCCACACACAUGGAGAGGAUGCUCUGAAAUGAUCCCGGAGGCACAUCUAGCCCAUCAAUAAAAGCCAGAGGAGCGGAGGAGAGGGAAUAUUCAUUUAUCUUCAUUAGGACUCUGGCCAGCUCCUCUGAUCACCACGUCGGCGUCGCCGGGAAGAGAAAAAGCUACUGUUCCUUUCUCCGGCUUCUCUGCCUCCAGACGCACAUCCCAUCGCGGGCUCGCAACCAUCGCAAGGUGCUGGGACCCCACUCAGCACCUGCCCUCAGCCAAGGGAAGAAUGGGAUUUGGGGGAUAUUCAGCUUUUCUCUGCUGUUCUGCAGAAGUUGACUUCCAGAAGAACGGGCAGCAAGGGGAGGGUGAAUGGAAAAGCAAAUGAAUGUCAUGAGAUGCCCAUCAGUGGAGGCAGAUUAAAGGGGAGGGGAAGCCUAUUAGAGAGGCAGAAGAUUGAAUGAGUGCUAUCAGGCCUGAAUAUCUUAAAGGGAUGAUAUCUCAGCCCCCAUCACCAGCCUCUCUGUAACAUACUCGCAUCAGCUGUUCCCACUUUGGACAAGCGGGAUUAUUUUGGGAGAGGCACUUCGCCCUCCCUGCCCCACUCGAGCUUUCCUCCCAUGGACACACUGAAAGAUCCCUCCUUCAAAACCCUCUGCAGACCUCGCUGGGAUGCUGAGGAGCAAAGUCACCUGCUGAUGUGCUCAGGGAUAUCACGCAGCCGCCACUAGACACUCUCCUGUGAAGGAUGAUCCUGGGAGCCAAGCUCUGGCAGUCAAGUGCUUAUGGAAUGAAUGGAGACCUCAGGUUUGGUCUCCAUACCCUGCUCAUCAUCUCUCUGAAACCCCCUCCUGAAAUGCCACAGUUCACCCAGAUCACCCACAGAGACACCCAAUUCUUCUUUGACCCUUGCUAAGCUUCGGAGCCUUGGUGGCUUCCAGAAGCAACAAGGUCCAGUGUCCAAUAACACUUUGAAGAAUAACCAGGGUGACCAGGCCUUUAAGAGAUGUCAGAUGUCAAAUUCAACCUAUCAUCUUUCCGCACAGCCAUAAUAAAAGAUAUUUUAAAAACA